rfam:Pseudomonas syringae pv. actinidiae ICMP 19096 scaffold603, whole genome shotgun sequence.
AUCGAACACGACGCGGCAUGACCUCGGGCAUGUCAUCGCCAACGCCGGGAUCGGCGGCAUAAAAAGGAAUGACUGGCGCAGGCCGGUCAUUCCGUCAGUGAGCACGCAAGGCACUUCGGGCGACGCAGGUCGCCCUUUUUUUCG